rnacentral:rRNA from 1 species
CUGCUGCCUCCCGUAGGAGUUUGGGCCGUGUCUCAGUCCCAAUGUGGCCGUUCACCCUCUCAGGCCGGCUACUGAUCGUCGCCUUGGUGGGCCGUUACCCCUCCAACCAGCUAAUCAGACGCGGGUCCAUCCUGUACCACCGGAGUUUUUCACACUGUACCGUGCGGUACUGUGCGCUUAUGCGGUUUUAGCACCUAUUUCUAAGUGUUAUCCCCCUGUACAGGGCAGGUUACCCACGCGUUACUCCACCCGUCCGCCACUAAGAUAAACAGG